AGCAGCCGCGGUAAUUCCAGCUCCAAUAGCGUAUAUUAAAGUUGUUGCAGUUAAAAAGCUCGUAGUUGAAUUUCGGGAUCAAUACGUCGGUCGUGCUUCGGUACGUACUGGUGUCAUUGAUUUCUCCCUUCUGACGAACCAUGAUGUCAUUAACUUGGUGUCUUGGGAAAUCAGGACUGUUACUUUGAAAAAAUUAGAGUGUUUAAAGCAGGCUCACGCUUGAAUACAUUAGCAUGGAAUAAUGAAAUAGGACGUUCGAUCCUAUUUUGUUGGUUUUAGGAUCAACGUAAUGAUUAAUAGGGAUAGUUGGGGGCAUUAGUAUUCAAUUGUCAGAGGUGAAAUUCUUGGAUUUAUUGAAGACUAACUACUGCGAAAGCAUUUGCCAAGGAUGUUUUCAUUAAUCAAGAACGAAAGUUAGGGGAUCGAAGACGAUCAGAUACCGUCGUAGUCUUAACCAUAAACUAUGCCGACUAGGGAUCGGAUGAUGU
rnacentral:rRNA from 1 species